rnacentral:misc_RNA from 1 species
CAACUAUUUUCUUUGCUUAAAAAAGGCGAUUUUACCAAGAUGUAGAGAGUUUUCUCUCUAGAUCAUAGGUUUUUCUCCCAUUUUUGAAAGGCUUUUAGACCAAAAAAAAAAAAUCUUAAGCUGCAGUCUAUUUCCCAAGGUCUUCUCCAAGGAUAUGGAUCAAACACAGACAGCUUUAACAAGAGUUGUUUAUCUCUUCACCCAUCCCUUCUUACUUCUUGUACUCUUUAUCUUUAUCAUCAUCAAGCACUUCAACUCUCUAUCUUCGAA